CAACAAGGUCCUCACACAAAAGCACAAUAAUUUAGAAAUCUUGUAUUACUAGCAUUUUAUUUCCAGGGUAAUAUAAGCAAAACUCAUACCAAGUAGAAGAAGGUACUAGUAUAGAAACUGAAGUUUGAUUUCAGUUAAAUAUCAAAUAAGCUUAAAUAAUCUAUUCCAUCAGACACAAGUUAUUUUAGAGCACAAGCCAUAGCUCG
rnacentral:lncRNA from 1 species